AUUAUUUAUGAAAUUUUAAAAUCUAAAGUGAUAAACCCUAAGGGUUGUGGCCAAUGUCUAAAAUGCCCUUCAUGGUAGACAUGAGAAGUCUAAACUACCCUUGUGCAUUAUUAAAGGAAGAAACCAAUUAUUAGAGUGGAAAUGACUAUUUUACCCUUUUUGGCUUAUUAGUGUAUUAUUAGUGUAUUAUUGAGGAAUCUAGCAACAAAUCAUGGCCAACAUACUUGCCCCACUACAUUUAUCAGCUAGCAUUCAAUUAUACUAGCAUUAUUGAGCAUCCAAGGCAAUCUAAAUGGUCUAUAAAUAGAAAUUAAGGAAAUUCAAGCUUAAUGCACACUAAAAUUAUAACAACUCUCUAGACACACUCUCUCAAACUCUAGCCAACGAAUUUGCCUUGCCCAUAAGCUCCUAAUCAAAGCCCAGCCACCACAAACAACAAAUCAGAAGCAUCCAAGCCAAAAAAAUCAAAAAUCGAAGCUAGAAAAGGUAUGAAAUUCUCUAAUUUAGAAAUCCUUCGAUUCGAUGUUAAUUGAUGCAAUUGCUUGUUUAAAGUAGUGUAAUAGGGAGUCUAUUAAUGUUCUGGGUUGUUAAAUUCAGAACCCAUAACAUCAAAGUGCACGAAUUUGAAGAUUUAAGCAAGUUGGAAAAACCGAAUUCUGUUAUUUUUUACCAAAUGUCAGAGGCUAUAACUCUUUGUUCGAUCACGAGUUUUGUUGUUUAAAAGUUGUUAUAGGUAGCCUGAUAUGUGGUCUUUAAUCUCCAAAAGGAAUAAAGUUCAUAUCUAUUGUAGAUCGGGAUUUAUAAGCGGUCAAAGUGGGUUGACCGGCAUUGACCGGCUGUUCUUCAAACCCAGAAAAUAUUCUAAGUGUCCAGAAAAUAUUAUUUUGGAAAAUGUCAGGCCUUAUAUCUCGGUCAUCUUUAAUGUGUUUUGUGUUAUAAAGGUUGAUAUGUGUAGCUUGUUAUGUGGUAUUUAACCUCCAAAAAGAAUCAGGUCCAUAUAUAUUACGGAUUAAGAGUUAUUUAAGGUCAAACUGGGUUGACCGGCAUUGACCGGAAAAUUCUGGGCAGCCCAGAAUUUUCUAAGUGUUGAUUUUUCUUACAAGGUUUGACCAUACAUGUUGUAUUCCUACAUGUUGUCUACAUGUUGUCUACCCAGUUAGUUAAGUGUUAGAGUUGUAUUCCUACAUGUUGUCUACACACUGGAAUUGAUAGAUCACAUAAACGUUACACGAUCAUCAAGUUAUAGAGGUCCAAAGUAGGCACCUCGAACUGUUCUUCGUGAA
rnacentral:lncRNA from 1 species